AACAGGCUGGCUGUUUGAAUCUAGGUUGUGGCUAGCAAUUACUGUCAAAAUAGAAUAAGGAAUCCCUAAGGAAUGGUGUACAUUACCCAGUUUCCUUUUGUAACCACAGGGAUGCACAACUCCAAAUGCAAAUAUGUUAAAAACAAGCAAGAUUAAGGCUGUCAGAAAACUACAAGAGACCACAACUGAGAGAACAAUCACCUUGUGGAUUACAUCCUCCCUUAACCAGACUGGAGCCUAGAAAACAGACAUCUUUCAUUUCAUCUUUCAGCAGGCAUUAUUGAGUAAAGCAGAAUGGAUUUACUUAAAAAAUAUGGUGGUGAGAGGUUAACAUUCAUCUAAAUAAUUAGGAUAAUUAUUAUAAUGAAGCAUUCUCUACUCCUCUUCAGUGAUACUGUACAACAAUUCCACCCUAACCAAAUGACAAUCUGGGGAACAGUGCUGUCUCUCAAAGAAACUCCUCCCUUUCUGUACUCCAGUUUACAUCAUCAGGGUUCUUUAAGAGUGAAUUACAUUCAUCAAUGAGGAAUCAAAAAUAGCUUCAAGAACAUACAUACCUCAAAAAAGCUCUCCACAUACUGGAGGAUGUACACUCCACAAUCACUGAAGUUGUUCUGCUGUGGCACUUUUGGGUUGGAACCUUUCAUGAC